rnacentral:rRNA from 1 species
CCUACGGGAGGCAGCAGUGAGGAAUAUUGGUCAAUGGGCGAGAGCCUGAACCAGCCAAGUCGCGUGAGGGAAGAAGGUACUGAGUAUUGUAAACCUCUUUUGCCAGGGGACAAAGGCGGCCACGGGUCGCCGUAAGAGGGUACCUGGAGAAAAAGCAUCGGCUAACUCCGUGCCAGCAGCCGCGGUAAUACGGAGGAUGCGAGCGUUAUCCGGAUUUAUUGGGUUUAAAGGGUGCGCAGGCGGAGGGGCAAGUCAGCGGUAAAAUUUAGGGGCUCAACCCCGGCCUGCCGUUGAAACUGGGGUGCUCGAGUGGGAGAGAGGUAUGCGGAAUUCGUGGUGUAGCGGUGAAAUGCAUAGAUAUCACGAAGAACCCCGAUUGCGAAGGCAGCGUACCGGCUCCAAACUGACGCUGAGGCACGAAAGCGUGGGUAUCGAACAGGAUUAGAUACCCCUGUAGUC